UCUUUCUUCAAAUAUUUUGUUUUUACAUAUUAUUUAUUAUCCAUUUAUUUUGUUUUCACCAAAUUUGUUAAUUUGUCAUUAUCAUUUGGUUGGUGGGCCUUCAAGCCCAUUUAUUAUUUUCUUGUUCUAUUUUCGGUAUGUGUUGGAUCUUAGGCCCAAAGAUUUCUUUUGUUUCGCUCAUAUCUUCAUAUGCCUCUGCACCCCCAUGUCAUUUGUUGAUGAUUGUGAUAAUUUUUUUGUUUUCAU
rnacentral:lncRNA from 1 species